AUUGAACGCUGGCGGCAGGCCUAACACAUGCAAGUCGAGCGAGCGGCGGACGGGUGAGUAAUGUAGGGGGACUGCCUGAUAGAGGGGGAUAACUACUGGAAACGGUAGCUAAUACCGCAUACUAUCGGAUAACCCAUAUGGGAUUAGCUAGUAGGUGAGGUAAUGGCUCACCUAGGCGCCGAUCCCUAGAUGGUCUGAGAGGAUGAUCAGCCACACUGGGACUGAGACACGGCCCAGACUCCUACGGAGGCAGCAGUGGGGAAUAUUGCACAAUGGGCGCAAGCCUGAUGCAGCCAUGCCGCGUGUAUGAAGAAGGCCCUAGGGUUGUAAAGUACUUUCAGGCGGGAGGCGUUACCGACAGAAGAAGCACCGGCUAACUCCGUGCCAGCAGCCGCGGUAAUAC
rnacentral:rRNA from 1 species